rnacentral:snRNA from 1 species
AUAACGUCUUGGCCUUUUGAUCAAGGUCAAGUGUAGCCUCUGUUCUUAUCAGUUUAAUAUCUGGACCAUCCUUGAUGAGAGGACUUAUUAUAAAACUGAUUUUUGGGCCUUGAAAUUGGACCCAGAGCUUGCCCUCUGCUCUGUGCAUCAUUCCUGUAUUGCAAUGCCUGUGGGAAUGGAAUCCA